rnacentral:rRNA from 1 species
CAAUAGCGUAUAUUUAAGUUGUUGCAGUUAAAAAGCUCGUAGUUGGAUUUCGGUUAAGAGCGACCGGUCCGCCGUUUGGUGUGCACUGGUUGGUUUUAACUUCCUGUAGGGGACGUGCUCUGGGUUUAACGACCUGGACUCGGAGUCUACGUGGUUACUUUGAAAAAAUUAGAGUGUUCAAAGCGGGCUUACGCUUGAAUAUUUCAGCAUGGAAUAACACUAUAGGACUCCUGUCCUAUUUCGUUGGUCUCGGGACGGGAGUAAUGAUUAAGAGGAACAGUUGGGGGCAUUCGUAUUUCAUUGUCAGAGGUGAAAUUCUUGGAUUUAUGAAAGACGAACUUCUGCGAAAGCAUUUGCCAAGGAUGUUUUCAUUAA